rnacentral:rRNA from 1 species
UAUAAUGGGUCAGCGACUUAUAUUCUGUAGCAAGGUUAACCGUAUAGGGGAGCCGCAGGGAAACCGAGUCUUAACUGGGCGUUAAGUUGCAGGGUAUAGACCCGAAACCCGGUGAUCUAGCCAUGGGCAGGUUGAAGGUUGGGUAACACUAACUGGAGGACCGAACCGACUAAUGUUGAAAAAUUAGCGGAUGACUUGUGGCUGGGGGUGAAAGGCCAAUCAAACCGGGAGAUAGCUGGUUCUCCCCGAAAGCUAUUUAGGUAGCGCCUCGUGAAUUCAUCUUCGGGGGUAGAGCACUGUUUCGGCUAGGGGGUCAUCCCGACUUACCAACCCGAUGCAAACUACGAAUACCGAAGAAUGUUAUCACGGGAGACACACGGCGGGUGCUAACGUCCGUCGUGAAGAGGGAAACAACCCAGACCGCCAGCUAAGGUCCCAAAGUCAUGGUUAAGUGGGAAACGAUGUGGGAAGGCACAGACAGCCAGGAUGUUGGCUUAGAAGCAGCCAUCAUUUAAAGAAAGCGUAAUAGCUCACUGGUCGAGUCGGCCUGCGCGGAAGAUGUAACGGGGCUAAACCAUGCACCGAAGCUGCGGCAGCGACACUAUGUGUUGUUGGGUAGGGGAGCGUUCUGUAAGCCUGCGAAGGUGACCUGUGAGGGUUGCUGGAGGUAUCAGAAGUGCGAAUGCUGACAUAAGUAACGAUAAAGCGGGUGAAAAGCCCGCUCGCCGGAAGACCAAGGGUUCCU